rnacentral:rRNA from 1 species
GUCUUAUUGUCAUUUAUAUAUAUUAAGUCUGACCUGCUCAAUGAUAUUUAUAUUAAAUAGCCGCAGUAUCUUGACUGUGCAAAGGUAGCAUAAUCAUUUGUCUUUUAAUUAAAGGCUAGAAUGAAUGGUUUGAUGAAAUAUUUUCUUUCUUUAUAUAAAUUGAUUGAAUUUAAUCUUUUAGUUAAAAAGCUAAAAUGUUUUUGUAGGACGAGAAGACCCUAUAGAAUUUUAUAAUUUUAUCUAUAUGUAUUUAUUGGUGAAUUAAUUCGAUAUUUAUAAUUAAAAUUAUUGGGUUGGGGUGACUGGGAAAUUUUUUUAACUUUCUUUAAUUUUUAAUUAUUUAUUUAUAUAUUUAUGAUCCUAUUUUAAGGAUAAUAAGAUUAAAUUACCUUAGGGAUAACAGCGUAAUUCUUUCGGAGAGUUCAUAUCGAUGAAGGAGUUUGCGAC